GGAGGCAGCAGUAGGGAAUCUUCGGCAAUGGACGCAAGUCUGACCCGAGCAACGCCGCGUGAGUGAAGAAGGUUUCGGAUCGUAAAGCUCUGUUGUCAGCAAAGAACAGGAGAAAGAGGCAAUGCUUUUUCUAUGACGGUAGCUGACCAGAAAGCCACGGCUAACUACGUGCCAGCAGCCGCGGUAAUACGUAGGUGGCAAGCGUUGUCCGGAUUUAUUGGGCGUAAAGCGAGCGCAGGCGGUGAUUUAAGUCUGAUGUGAAAGCCCCCAGCUCAACUGGGGAGGGUCAUUGGAAACUGGAUCACUUGAGUGCAGAAGAGGAGAGUGGAAUUCCAUGUGUAGCGGUGAAAUGCGUAGAUAUAUGGAGGAACACCAGUGGCGAAGGCGGCUCUCUGGUCUGUAACUGACGCUGAGGCUCGAAAGCGUGGGUAGCAAACAGGAUUAGAUACCCUGGUAGUCCACGCCGUAAACGAUGAGUGCUAAGUGUUGGAGGGUUUCCGCCCUUCAGUGCUGCAGUUAACGCAUUAAGCACUCCGCCUGGGGAGUACGACCGCAAGGUUGAAACUCAAAGGAAUUGACGGGGGCCCGCACAAGCGGUGGAGCAUGUGGUUUAAUUCGAAGCAACGCGAAGAACCUUACCAGGUCUUGACAUCCUUUGACCGCCCUAGAGAUAGGGUUUCCCCUUCGGGGGCAAAGUGACAGGUGGUGCAUGGUUGUCGUCAGCUCGUGUCGUGAGAUGUUGGGUUAAGUCCCGUAACGAGCGCAACCCUUAUUGUUAGUUGCCAGCAUUGCGUUGGGCACUCUAGCAAGACUGCCGGUGACAAACCGGAGGAAGGCGGGGAUGACGUCAAAUCAUCAUGCCCCUUAUGACCUGGCUACACACGUG
rnacentral:rRNA from 1 species